CCUCUUGAUGAUGAGGAACUAGUGUCAUAUAUAUUGUCAGGCCUCAACGUUGACUAUAACCCGUUGGUAUCCUCUGUUGUCAAUAGAUCUGAUCCUAUUUCGCUGAGUGAUCUUUAUGCACAGGUGAUGAGCUAUGACA